CAGAGGGGGCAAGCGUUGUUCGGAAUUACUGGGCGUAAAGGGCGCGCAGGCGGCCUGCUAAGUCGAACGUGAAAUCCCUGGGCUCAACCCAGGAACUGCGUCCGAUACUGGUUGGCUUGAAUCCGGGAGAGGGAUGUGGAAUUCCAGGUGUAGCGGUGAAAUGCGUAGAUAUCUGGAGGAACACCGGUGGCGAAGGCGACAUCCUGGACCGGUAUUGACGCUGAGGCGCGAAAGCCAGGGGAGCAAACGGGAUUAGAUACCCCGGUAGUCCUGGCCCUAAACGAUGAAUGCUUGGUGUGGUGGGUAUCGAUCCCUACCGUGCCGAAGCUAACGCAUUAAGCAUUCCGCCUGGGGAGUACGGUCGCAAGGCUG
rnacentral:rRNA from 1 species